AAUGAGUGAGGCAAGACAGCCCUGAGGAUGGGGAAGGACAUGAUGGACGGAGAAGUCAGCCCAGGGCAGGGGCACAGUGGCUCAGCUUCUGAAACCAAAGAACAGAAAAGAGGGUCUCUUUCCCAUGGAUGAGGGGCCCAGCACCAUGGCCAGGGCCACAGCCACCUCAUGCCACACAGCAGCCAAACCAGGCCCCCCCACCGUCACAUAUCCCCUUCCACCAAGGUGUCCAGCCAGCACCGAUGCAAAGGAGCUGGUCCCAGGCCUUUCCCAGACCCACCGUGGUCCUGCCGGCCUCCCACAGGCGGCCUGUGAGCGCCAACAAGGAGAUGUUCUCGUUCGUGGUGGACGACGCC
rnacentral:sRNA from 1 species